GUCAGAGUGGCUCAGUGGUUUGAAUGUUGGACUAGGACUCCAGGAGACCAGGGUGCGAAUCCCAGUUCAGCCA